GCCAGGCAUGGUGGCGAGUGCCUGUAGUCCCAGUUACUCAGGAGGCUGAGACAGGAGAAUUGCUUGAACCCAGGAGGUGGAGGCUGCAGUGAGCUGAGAUUAUGCCACUGCACUCCAGCCUGGGAGACAGAGCAAGACUCUGUCUCAA
rnacentral:SRP_RNA from 2 species